UUGUCUCAAAGAUUAAGCCAUGCAUGUCUAAGUAUAAGCAACUUGUACUGUGAAACUGCGAAUGGCUCAUUAAAUCAGUUAUCGUUUAUUUGAUAGUACCUUACUACAUGGAUACCUGUGGUAAUUCUAGAGCUAAUACAUGCUAAAAACCCCGACUUCAGGAAGGGGUGUAUUUAUUAGAUAAAAAACCAACGCCCUUCGGGGCUCCUUGGUGAAUCAUAAUAACUUAACGAAUCGCAUGGCCUUGCGCCGGCGAUGGUUCAUUCAAAUUUCUGCCCUAUCAACUUUCGAUGGUAGGAUAGUGGCCUACCAUGGUGGCAACGGGUAACGGGGAAUUAGGGUUCGAUUCCGGAGAGGGAGCCUGAGAAACGGCUACCACAUCCAAGGAAGGCAGCAGGCGCGCAAAUUACCCAAUCCCGAUACGGGGAGGUAGUGACAAUAAAUGCUGAUACGGGGCUCUUUUGGGUCUCGUAAUUGGAAUGAGAACAAUUUAAAUCCCUUAACGAGGAACAAUUGGAGG
rnacentral:rRNA from 1 species